UACGUAGGGUGCAAGCGUUAUUCGGAAUUACUGGGCGUAAAGCGCGCGCAGGCGGUUUUGUAAGUCCGAUGUGAGAUCCCCGGGCUUAACCUGGGAACUGCAUUGGUGACUGCAAGGCUUGAGUGUGUCAGAGGGAGGUGGAAUUCCGCGUGUAGCAGUGAAAUGCGUAGAUAUGCGGAGGAACACCGAUGGCGAAGGCAGCCUCCUGGGAUAACACUGACGCUCAUGCACGAAAGCGUGGGGAGCAAACAGG
rnacentral:rRNA from 1 species